rnacentral:rRNA from 1 species
UUUACUCCUACGGGAGGCAGCAGUCAGGGAAUCUUCCGCAAUGGACGAAAGUCUGACGGAGCAACGCCGCGUGAGUGAUGAAGGCUUUCGGGUCGUAAAACUCUGUUGUUAGGGAAGAACAAGUGCUAGUUGAAUAAGCUGGCACCUUGACGGUACCUAACCAGAAAGCCACGGCUAACUACGUGCGCAGCAGCCGCGGUAAUAAAA